CCAGUGGGGAAGGCGGCCUCCUGAUCUGGUCCUGACGCUGAAGGCGAAAGCUCGGGUAGCGAACGGGAUUAGAACACCCCGGUAAUCCUAACCGUAAACGAUUGAUUCUGGGUGUGGGGGGUAUAGAUUCCCUCCGUGCCGAAGCUAACGCGUUAAGCAUCCCGCCUGGGGAAUAAGGCCGCAAGGCUUAAACUUAAACGAAUUGACGGGUCGCCGCACAAGCAGCGGAGCGUGUGGUUUAAUUCGACGCUACACGAAGAACCUUACCUGGGUUUGACAUGCAAGUAGUAGUGAAGUGAAAGCGGAUCGACCCUUCGGGGAGCUUGCACAGGUGCUGCAUGGCUGUAGUCAGCUCGUGCCGUGAGGUGUCGGGUUAAGUCCCGUAACGAGCGCAACCCUUGCCCUUAGUUAUACGUGUAUAAGAGGACUGCCCGGGAUAACUGGGAAGAAGGUGGGGAUGACGUCAAGUCAGCAUGGCCUUUAUAUCCAGGGCGACACACACGCUACAAUGGCCGGUACAAUGGGUUGCCAACCCGUGAGGGGGAGCCAAUCCCGCAA
rnacentral:rRNA from 1 species